rnacentral:piRNA from 1 species
GAGGAUGUGACGGUGAGUAAAACUCAGU